GACGAACGCUGGCGGCGUGCUUAACACAUGCAAGUCGAACGGAAAGGCCCUGCUUUUGUGGGGUGCUCGAGUGGCGAACGGGUGAGUAACACGUGAGUAACCUGCCCUUGACUUUGGGAUAACUUCAGGAAACUGGGGCUAAUACCGGAUAGGAGCUCCUGCUGCAUGGUGGGGGUUGGAAAGUUUCGGCGGUUGGGGAUGGACUCGCGGCUUAUCAGCUUGUUGGUGGGGUAGUGGCUUACCAAGGCUUUGACGGGUAGCCGGCCUGAGAGGGUGACCGGCCACAUUGGGACUGAGAUACGGCCCAGACUCCUACGGGAGGCAGCAGUAGAGAAUAUUGCACAAUGGGCGGAAGCCUGAUGCAGCAACGCCGCGUGCGGGAUGACGGCCUUCGGGUUGUAAACCGCUUUCGCCUGUGACGAAGCGUGAGUGACGGUAAUGGGUAAAGAAGCACCGGCUAACUACGUG
rnacentral:rRNA from 1 species